rnacentral:rRNA from 1 species
ACCAGAGCCAUAUAUCCUUGCAGUUCUUGCCACGUUUCCCACUGAAGCUAAGCAGGACUGAGCCUGGCCAGUACCUGGUUGGGAUAACUCCUGGGGGAAACAAAGUUUGCUGCUGGAA